rnacentral:rRNA from 1 species
UACGUAGGGCGCAAGCGUUGUCCGGAAUUAUUGGGCGUAAAGAGCUCGUAGGCGGUCCGUCACGUCUGCCGUGAAAACCCGAGGCUUAACCUCGGGCCUGCGGUGGAUACGGGCGGACUAGAGGUAGGUAGGGGAGAAUGGAAUUCCCGGUGUAGCGGUGAAAUGCGCAGAUAUCGGGAGGAACACCGGUGGCGAAGGCGGUUCUCUGGGCCUUACCUGACGCUGAGGAGCGAAAGCGUGGGGAGCGAACAGG